rnacentral:rRNA from 1 species
GAUGAACGCUGGCGGCGUGCCUAAUACAUGCAAGUCGAGCGAACAGACGAGGAGCUUGCCCCUCUGACGUUAGCGGCGGACGGGUGAGUAACACGUGGAUAACCUACCUAUAAGACUGGGAUAACUUCGGGAAACCGGAGCUAAUACCGGAUAAUAUAUUGAACCGCAUGGUUCAAUAGUGAAAGACGGUUUUGCUGUCACUUAUAGAUGGAUCCGCGCCGCAUUAGCUAGUUGGUAAGGUAACGGCUUACCAAGGCGACGAUGCGUAGCCGACCUGAGGGGGUGCUCCGCCCCACUGGAACUGAGACACGGCCCAGACCCCUAGGGGAGGCAGAAGGAGGAAAUCUUCCGCAAGGGGGGAAAGCCUGACGGGGCAACGCCGGGGGAGUGAAGAAGGGCUUCGGAUCGUAAAACCUUUUUAUUAGGGAAAAAAAAAUGGGUAAGUAACUAUGCCCGUCUGGACGGUACCUAAUCAAAAAGCCCCGGCUAACUACGG